UUAGGCCUAACACAUGCAAGUCGAGGGGCAGCAUUCACUUCGGUGAGAUGGCGACCGGCGCACGGGUGCGUAACGCGUAUGCAACCUACCCUUUACUAUGGGAUAGCCCGGGGAAACCCGGAUUAAUACCAUAUGGUACCAUUUGAUGGCAUCUGAAGAUGGUUAAAGAUUUAUCGGUAAAGGAUGGGCAUGCGUGACAUUAGCUAGUUGGUGAGGUAAGGGCUCACCAAGGCAAUGAUGUCUAGGGGUUCUGAGAGGAUGAUCCCCCACACUGGCACUGAGAUACGGGCCAGACUCCUACGGGAGGCAGCAGUAGGGAAUAUUGGUCAAUGGGCGAGAGCCUGAACCAGCCAUGCCGCGUGCAGGAAGACGGCCUUCUGGGUUGUAAACUGCUUUUAUCAGGGAACAAAAAGGCUCUGCGGAGCAAAUUGCGUGUACCUGAAGAAUAAGGACCGGCUAACUCCGUGCCAGCAGCCGCGGUAAUACGGAGGGUCCAAGCGUUGUCCGGAUUUAUUGGGUUUAAAGGGUGCGUAGGCGGCCCUAUAAGUCAGUGGUGAAAUCCUUCGGCUCAACCGGAGAACUGCCAUUGAAACUGUAGGGCUUGAGUACAGACGAGGUAGGCGGAAUUUAUGGUGUAGCGGUGAAAUGCAUAGAUACCAUAAAGAACACCUAUAGCGAAGGCAGCUUAA
rnacentral:rRNA from 1 species